AUCAGUGUGUGUGUUAGUGGAAGCGUCUGGAAAGGCGCGCGAUACAGGGUGACAGCCCCGUACACAAAAAUGCACAUGCUGUGAGCUCGAUGAGUAGGGCGGGACACGUGGUAUCCUGUCUGAAUAUGGGGGGACCAUCCUCCAAGGCUAAAUACUCCUGACUGACCGAUAGUGAACCAGUACCGUGAGGGAAAGGCGAAAAGAACCCCGGCGAGGGGAGUGAAAAAGAACCUGAAACCGUGUACGUACAAGCAGUGGGAGCCUCUUUAUGGGGUGACUGCGUACCUUUUGUAUAAUGGGUCAGCGACUUAUAUUCUGUAGCAAGGUUAACCGAAUAGGGGAGCCGAAGGGAAACCGAGUCUUAACUGGGCGUUAAGUUGCAGGGUAUAGACCCGAAACCCGGUGAUCUAGCCAUGGGCAGGUUGAAGGUUGGGUAACACUAACUGGAGGACCGAACCGACUAAUGUUGAAAAAUUAGCGGAUGACUUGUGGCUGGGGGUGAAAGGCCAAUCAAACCGGGAGAUAGCUGGUUCUCCCCGAAAGCU
rnacentral:rRNA from 1 species